rnacentral:rRNA from 1 species
UACGGGGGGAGCAAGCGUUGUUCGGAUUUACUGGGCGUAAAGGGCGCGUAGGCGGCCACCGCAAGUCGGUUGUGAAAUCUCUGGGCUUAACCCAGAAAGGUCAACCGAUACUGCGGGGCUAGAAUGCAGAAGGGGCAACUGGAAUUCUCGGUGUAGCGGUGAAAUGCGUAGAUAUCGAGAGGAACACCUGCGGCGAAGGCGGGUUGCUGGGCUGACACUGACGCUGAAGCGCGAAAGCUAGGGGAGCGAACGGG